CGAGGUCUUCGGGCCUAGCGGCGGACGGGUUAGUAACGCGUGGGAACGUGCCCUUCACUACGGAAUAGUCCCGGGAAACUGGGUUUAAUACCGUAUACGCCCUUCGGGGGAAAGAAUUUCGGUGAAGGAUCGGCCCGCGUCUGAUUAGGUAGUUGGUGGGGUAAUGGCCUACCAAGCCUACGAUCAGUAGCUGGUUUUAGAGGAUGAUCAGCAACACUGGGACUGAGACACGGCCCAGACUCCUACGGGAGGCAGCAGUGGGGAAUCUUAGACAAUGGGCGCAAGCCUGAUCUAGCCAUGCCGCGUGAGUGAUGAAGGCCUUAGGGUCGUAAAGCUCUUUCGCUGGGGAAGAUAAUGACGGUACCCAGUAAAGAAACCCCGGCUAACUCCGUGCCAGCAGCCGCGGUAAUACGGAGGGGGUUAGCGUUGUUCGGAAUUACUGGGCGUAAAGCGCGCGUAGGCGGACUGUUAAGUCGGGGGUGAAAUCCCGGGGCUCAACCCCGGAACGGCCUUCGAUACUGGCAGUCUGGAGUUCGAGAGAGGUGAGUGGAAUUCCGAGUGUAGAGGUGAAAUUCGUAGAUAUUCGGAGGAACACCAGUGGCGAAGGCGG
rnacentral:rRNA from 1 species